rnacentral:rRNA from 1 species
GACGAACGCUGGCGGCGUGCUUAACACAUGCAAGUCGAACGCUGAAGCCCAGCUUUUGUUGGGUGGAUGAGUGGCGAACGGGUGAGUAACACGUGAGUAACCUGCCCCCUUCUUUGGGAUAACGCCCGGAAACGGGUGCUAAUACUGGAUAUUCACUGGUCUUCGCAUGGGGGUUGGUGGAAAGGGUUUUUCUGGUGGGGGAUGGGCUCGCGGCCUAUCAGCUUGUUGGUGGGGUGAUGGCCUACCAAGGCUUUGACGGGUAGCCGGCCUGAGAGGGUGACCGGUCACAUUGGGACUGAGAUACGGCCCAGACUCCUACGGGAGGCAGCAGUGGGGAAUAUUGCACAAUGGGCGCAAGCCUGAUGCAGCGACGCCGCGUGAGGGAUGGAGGCCUUCGGGUUGUGAACCUCUUUCGCUCAUGGUCAAGCCGCAACAAUGGUUGUGGUGAGGGUAGUGGGUAAAGAAGCGCCGGCUAACUACGUG